rnacentral:rRNA from 1 species
GACGAACGCUGGCGGCGUGCUUAACACAUGCAAGUCGAACGGAAAGGCCCUGCUUGCCGGGUACUCGAGUGGCGAACGGGUGAGUAACACGUGGGUGAUCUGCCCUGCACGUCGGGAUAAGCCUGGGAAACUGGGUCUAAUACCGGAUAGGAGCCAUUUUUAGUGUGAUGGUUGGAAAGUUUUUUCGGUGUAGGAUGAGCUCGCGGCCUAUCAGCUUGUUGGUGGGGUAAUGGCCUACCAAGGCGGCGACGGGUAGCCGGCCUGAGAGGGUGGACGGCCACAUUGGGACUGAGAUACGGCCCAGACUCCUACGGGAGGCAGCAGUGGGGAAUAUUGCACAAUGGGCGCAAGCCUGAUGCAGCGACGCCGCGUGGGGGAGGACGGCCUUCGGGUUGUAAACUCCUUUCGCUAGGGACGAAGCUUUUUGUGACGGUACCUAGAGAAGAAGCACCGGCUAACUACGUG